rnacentral:rRNA from 1 species
UGGGGAAUCUUGCACAAUGGGGGAAACCCUGAUGCAGCGACGCCGCGUGAACGAUGAAGCCCUUCGGGGUGUAAAGUUCUUUCGACAGGAACGAUAAUGACGGUACCUGGAGAAGAAGCUGCGGCUAACUACGUGCCAGCAGCCGCGGUCAUACGUAGGCAGCGAGCGUUGUUCGGCGUUACUGGGCGUAAAGAGUGCGUAGGCGGCGAGCCAAGUUUGGGGUGAAAUCGCCCGGCUUAACCGGGAGGGUGCGCCGAAAACUGGUUGNCUGGAGUAUGGGAGAGGAAAGCGGNAUUUCUGGUGUAGCGGUGAAAUGCGUAGAUAUCAGGAGGAACACNNGCGGUGUAGNCNGCUNUCUGGNCCANAACUGACGCUGA